GAUGAACGCUGGCGGCGCGCCUAACACAUGCAAGUCGAACGAUUAAAGCACCUUCGGGUGUGUAUAAAGUGGCGAACGGCUGAGUAACACGUGGGCAACCUGCCCCUUUCAUUGGGAUAGCCACGGGAAACCGUGGAUAAUACCGAAUACUUCGAGACUUCCGCAUGGAAGACUCGAGAAAGCUCCGGCGGAGAGGGAUGGGCCCGUGGCCUGUUAGCUUGUUGGUGGGGUAACGGCCUACCAAGGCAAUGAUGGGUAGCUGGGUUGAGAGACCGACCAGCCAGAUUGGGACUGAGACACGGCCCAGACUCCUACGGGAGGCAGCAGUGGGGAAUCUUGCACAAUGGGCGAAAGCCUGAUGCAGCGACGCCGCGUGCGGGAUGAAGGCCUUCGGGUUGUAAACCGCUUUCAGCAGGGACGAGGCGAAAGUGACGGAACCUGCAGAAGAAGCCCCGGCUAACUACGUG
rnacentral:rRNA from 1 species